rnacentral:rRNA from 1 species
CCUACGGGUGGCAGCAGUGAGGAAUAUUGGUCAAUGGCCGAAAGGCUGAACCAGCCAAGUCGCGUGAAGGAUGAAGGCUCUAUGGGUUGUAAACCUCUUUUAUAGGGGAACAAAGGUCUGGACGUGUGGCUACUUGCGUGUACCCUCUGAAAAAGCAUCGGCUAACUCCGUGCCAGCAGCCGCGGUAAUACGGAGGAUGCGAGCGUUAUCCGGAUUUAUUGGGUUUAAAGGGUGCGUAGGUGGUUUUUAAAGUCAGCGGUAAAAUUGGGGGGCUCAACCUAAUAGUGCCGUUGAAAAGGGGAGCCUUGAGUGUGUGUGAGGUACGCGGAAUGCGUGGUGUAGCGGUGAAAUGCAUAGAUAUCACGCAGAACUCCGAUUGCGAAGGCAGCUUAC